rnacentral:misc_RNA from 1 species
CCCCAGUAAUACAAGAAACAGCAGGCAACUUACAUGAAAAAUCACAAGGAAAAAAAAUAUAGGAAAUACUAAAAUUCAAAAUAUUUUGUUUUGCAUAUUGAUUCACAUAAGCAAGAUGAAAAAAACCAGUUAAGAUAAAGUUGCAUUAUACUAGUUCAAAGCAAAUUUCCGUUCCCUCGGGUUCCUAAUCCUAUUUUCUUUCCUUUCCAUAUUUCAACAGUAAUCAAACAAAGAAAUAGCAAUUCAAACCAAUGCAUAUCCCAUCAAAAUUCAAAACUAACCUGAUAGUCAUCACCAAAUUCUUCAUUAAACGCU